rnacentral:rRNA from 1 species
CCUACGGGGGGCAGCAGUGAGGAAUAUUGGUCAAUGGUCGGGAGACUGAACCAGCCAAGCCGCGUGAGGGAUGAAGGUACGGAGUAUCGUAAACCUCUUUUGUCAGGGAACAAAGGCGGGGACGUGUCCUCGGAUGAGUGUACCUGAAGAAAAAGCAUCGGCUAACUCCGUGCCAGCAGCCGCGGUAAUAGGGGGGAUGCGAGCGUUAUCCGGAUUUAUUGGGUUUAAAGGGUGCGCAGGCGGUAUGUUAAGUCAGCGGUCAAAGCCCGGGGCUCAACCCCGAACCGCCGUUGAUACUGGCAGUCUCGAGUGGGAGAGAGGUAUGCGGAAUGCGCGGUGUAGCGGUGAAAUGCAUAGAUAU